CCUCUGCCUACUUAGGCAAGCUUCUCUUAGGGGGCGGUUGCAGGUGCACACUUCUGUCCAGCCAGCCACCACUGGACACUCUCCCGAUAAAGAGAAGGGAAGCUAAAAACAGCAACUUGGGUUAUCACUCCUCUACACAGUCUGCCCGCCAGUCUGCCUGCCUCUAUUUAGGAGGACCUGUUGAGGUGGCUGUCACAAAGUCAAAGAAAUCCUCUCGCCAUCCUUGCCCAUCCUGCUUGGUGCCCGAGGAGGGUACCUUUUUGAGUCUCCUCACCUGUGUUGCUUUGUCCUCUGGCCGGUGGAGAUGCCAUCAAGAUACUGGAGGCAAGAAGGAAAGGGAGGCCACAGAGGAUCAGUUUUGCCAAAGGAGAAGAGGCAGCUAAGAGGUAAAGUAGCAGCCAAAUGCAAAACACUUUGAAGAAAGGGUGUUGUGACAAAAGCACUCAUUAUCUUUGCAGUCAGUCAGGCCUGAGCUGGAAUCCCAGCUCCAGACACUUUCCAGGACUGCAAUCUUGGCUUGGCGACUGAAACCUCCCUGAGCCUCAGUUUCCUCAUCUAUAAAAC
rnacentral:lncRNA from 1 species